CCUACGGGAGGCAGCAGUGGGGAAUAUUGCACAAUGGGGGAAACCCUGAUGCAGCGACGCCGCGUGAGUGAAGAAGUAUUUCGGUAUGUAAAGCUCUAUCAGCAGGGAAGAAGAAAGACGGUACCUGACCAAGAAGCCCCGGCUAACUACGUGCCAGAAGCCGCGGUAAUUCGGAGGGGGCAAGCGUUAUCCGGAUUUACUGGGUGUAAAGGGAGGGUAGACGGGUGUGCAAGUCUGAAGUGAAAGCCCAGGGCUCAACCCUGGGACUGCUUUGGAAACUGUGGAGCUAGAGUGCUGGAGAGGUAAGUGGAAUUCGUAGUGUAGCGGUGAAAUGCGUAGAUAUUAGGAAGAACACCAGUGGCGAAGGCGGCUUACUGAACAGUAACUGACGUUGAGGCUCGAAAGCGUGGGGAGCAAACAGGAUUAGAUACCCCUGUAGUC
rnacentral:rRNA from 1 species